UUUUCAACUCUUUUGGAAUAAUUUGGAAAGGAGAUUUAAGAGUUGUGAUGUGGAGAAUUAGGUUCCAUUCAAGCAGUGCUGUGAAAGAGUUGUUCAACAGUGGAACCAACUCCCACGAGAGGUGAUGGAGGUUUUUAAGCAGAGGUUGGAUGGCCGUGUCUCAUGUAUGAUCUAGUUGAGUUUCCUGCAUUGCAGGGGGUUGGACUAGAUGACCCCCAGGUCCCUUCCAACUCUACAACGAUAUGAUUCUAUGGUUCUAUACGUGUUUUGAAUAUCUAGUGGCACAUCCCUUCUGGGACAAUACCUGAGGAAGACUCUCAGACUACAUGGCUGGGGGAGACUUGAGGGUUUGAACACUCUUCUACAAAAAAGAAAAAGAAAACCCUCAACACCUGCUCCAUGGAUUGUAUCCAAUUUAUGUCAUACUCGGGACUUCCGUGGUGGCGCCAUUGGCAAUGGCGGACUCCCUCUGAUCUGGAGGGACUAGCUCCACGUGAAACGGGUCUUUUCUGCUACGGCGAAGCGGGGACCCUUUCAAAAAUCACAGGCGGAUGAAGCCUGUGACCGUGGGACUCGGCGGGCACCCUUAGCGCCCCCCCAACCCGCAAAGGAACCCACUAACGGGCUCCGAAGCGAAGAGGGGGAAGUGGCGCGGUGCUGUGAGUCAAUUGCUUUUUCCGUGGAGCGAAGCUGCAUAGCCGUUGCCGGAGAGCGCUGCCUUUUUCCUGGGACAAUUUGGCUUCUAAAAUAAUCACCCGUGAGUACUUAAAUUUUGGACAAUUGGACUUUAAAUAAGGACUUGCGAGCAGAAAGGAAUUGGACUUAAAAAUUUACUUCAAUUUGGCACUGAAACGGGAAGGUCUAAACAGGAAGUCAGCCUUCCAUUUCUUUGUAGACAGAUUAAAACAAAGACAAGGUAAACUAGAGCUCAGAAAAUCGCUUCUAAAAGAUUAACUUUCAUCAUUUAAAAUUGUUGAACCCCCCUUCGGAAGCAGGAGAAGAAGGGGAUCUUUUCGGACUGUUUAAACCUGCAGAAGUGAGUCUAAAGUAAAGUAACUUUCCACCGUCUUGAUCCUGGAGCGGGGUGUCAGGACUGACGUUUUUUGAAGCUCAUUGACCAGAGACAAACGUUUUUGACAGAUAGCUAAAAGAAGAGAAACAUAGUGAUUCCACUGUUCCCCUUCGCAUUUUAAAGGAACAAAUAUUGACAAAAUAUCUGAAAAAGGAAACUUUGUUGCUAGAUUUGUCCUUAAAAGAAAGAACAAAUAGAAGUUUUUCCCCCUAGAGGAGACUGUGAAACUGUAACCAAUUCCAGGGGCUUGCAGCUGUUACAGAUUACAAUCGUGGGAAUAGACUUCUGACCUUGAAGGACAAUGUAUUCAGAAGCUCUGUUGUGUGCUCUCUGUAAAACAAAUGCCCUACUGGAACAAUUAAAUGAGAAGACGGAUUUGAUGACUGAUGCGAUCAGAAUUUUUGAACAGGCAGUGGGAAACUAUAUGGAGCCCACCCAGGAAUUAAAGCAGGAGUGUGCCCCGACAGAACAGACGAGAGAAGAAGAUGUUGCUGAAUCUUGGGCGCCAGAGAUAGAGGGAGCUGUGGCACUGCAGGAACAUGAGCUUUUGGAUUUGACAAAUGAACUUGGAAAAAGCCAGAUUUGGAAAGAUAAAGUUUGGACUGGUUUGGAAAUGGGGGGUUGGAUAGACCCCCCCUAUGCAGGGAUGUUUGGACUUUUCAAGUCUGGCAAUGGGCCGUGAGAUGUUUGGGGCUGUGGGGGCUCUUAAUUUUGGAGGGAUUCUGAAACAUGUUUUUAAAUACCACAUGGAGUUUAGUCUGGACUAUGGAAAAGGGGCUGAUUUGUUGGAAAGGGUCAAAAACACUGCCAAGCUGGAGUUCCCACGAGUGAAAGGAGAAUAUGAAGAAGAGCCACGGAAGGGACAUGGAAGGGACUUAAGGGCCUCGGAUAUAAGGUUACCAGGUUAAUGCGCUAGAUCAAUGGGAUAAAAAGGACUGACAAAACCCGGGACCAGGAGGAAGGGACGCUGGAUGAAGAUUGGAUUGUUUUUAUUUCUUUUUUUAUUACUAGGAUUGUUUUAUAAAAUUGAUGAAUGUUAGAAAAAUGUUGGAACGAAAUUACUUGGCUUUAGCAAAAAUGUUUAAAGAAUUAGGUAAGAAUAUUAUGGUUAUGAGACGAUGGUAAAAAUAAGAUUUAAGUUUUAAGUUUUAAGGUUCUUUAUAAGAUAAGAUGAAAAUAGAUUAAGGUAAUGUAACGACAGAAUAUUAUGAUAUAUGGAAAGGAUUUGCUGCGACAAUUAACAACUAGGAUACAAAAAAGGGAGGAGGAGGAGGUCAAAGAAAGAAGGUAAUGAAAGUUGAGGAUUCGAGAAUGAUGGAUUUGUUUUUGUGUGUUUGUGGUGUAUUUUUGUUUUUUGAAUUUGUAUUGUUUGAUGUGGUUUGUUUUUUCUUUGUUUUUUUCUUUUUCUUUUUCUGCUUUGUUCUCUUCUGUAAUUCUAAAAAAUUUUCAAUAAAUAUCAUUUAAAAAAAACAACAAUUUAUGUCAUACUCAGAGCAGACUCACUGAAAUCAGUUGACUUAAGGUAGUCAUAACUUCAAUGGUUUCAUGAUUUCAAUGGGUCCACUCUGAGUAUGACUUAGUUGGAUACAACCCCCUCUAGGUAGAAAGCUAGCAUAUCUGAGAAAAGGGCUGUAGCAUAGCUUUCACUUUGAUAAGCUCAUUUUCUGUGGGCAAGGCUCUUUAAACUAUUACCUACCAUCACCAUUAAGUGGUAGAUCCAGGAAGGACUAUAUACCAUAUUUUUCCGUGUAUAAGACUAUAUUUCCCCGCAAUUUUUUUAAGUUUAAAAAUGGAGGUCGUCUUAUACACAGAUAGUGCAUAUGGGGGAUUUCUUUAUUUGGAGUCCUAAAAAAUAGGGGCUAUGUUAUACAUGGAGACGUGUUAUACACGGAAAAAUAUGGUAAGUUUUGAACAUAAAGUUCAGUGCUUACUCUUCCCCAAAUAUCACCACCUAAUAUUUAGAAGUAAAUGGCAGUAUGUCAUCAUAUGGUAUUAUCAUUUCCCUCAUCUGAACUAUGAAUGUGGACUGCAUUUACAGGAUUCCUUCCCCUGUCCUGAAGCAGUGGUUCCGUACUGAACUUGGUAGUGAAUUCUGUAGGAUCCAUUGAUUUUGCAAAUACACAUAUAAGAACAUAAGAAAAGCCCCACUGGAUCAGGCAAAAGACUCAUCUAGUCUUCCAUCCUAUUCUUACAGUGGCCAACCAGAUGCCUUUAGGAAGUGCCAAGCUGGACCUGAGUGGAACAGUGCUCCCCUCCCUUGGGAUUCUCAGUAACUGGUUUUUAGCGGCAUCCUUCCUCCCAAGGGUAGAGCUAGAACAAAGCCAUUGUGGCUAGUAGCCAUUGAGAAUCUUAUUUUCCAUGACUUUGUCUAAUCCUCUUUUUAAAGUUGGUGGCCAUCGCUACAUCUUGUGGGAGCAAAUUGCAUAGUACUUUCUUUUGGCAGAUCUGAAUUUUCCACUAUUCAGCUUCAGUAGAUGGCCUCAAGUUCUAGCAUUGUGUAAGAGAGGGUAGAAACUUCACAACACCAUGCAUCAUUUUAUCCAUUUCUAUCAUAUCCCCCCUCACUUAUUUGCUUUUUUAACAAACUAACACUGAUUAUUCUAAGUAACUAAAUAGUUUUAUGUGAUUUUAAAAGAACUGUAGAAAAGAACUGCAAAUUGCAAGAGGGUUCCCAACUUCUACAAUUGACUGGAUCAACCUCAUGCUGCCAACUAAUGAUGAAUGAGUGACGUUUAGGCCGAAUUAGUGCCUUGCAAUGCUCCACACAUCACAUUCUGAAUGAAUAAUGUGGCAAGAGGGGUGCCUUGUCAUUUCAAUCUGAUCAGCUCAGGUGGAUGUAGCCCACAUUUUAUAUUGUUUCUUUCUUCAGGUGUGUAUACACCUGUAUUCAGUAUUUGAUUUUUUAUUAUUAUUUGCAGGCUGAUGCUUGUGUUGGAAUAGCUAUCACAUCUGCUUAGGUUUCCCACAGUGCAUUAGUAUUUGGUUCUGCUGUCUGCUACUCAUAACUCCCCCAGCCAUAACGAAUCCCACUUUGACAAACCAAAACUUAGCAAAGAGUCCUGAUGGCAGGCUGACAGCACAGCAGAUGCAGAUGGCCCCUGUCUUUCCAACUACUUCAUUUUAUGAUUCAGCUCAACUAUAUCUUACUUGUCAUGAAUAAGACAGCCUAGCUGAGUGACAUUUCUGCUUGACUGGUAGUUAAUGACAAGGAGUCUCUGGUGGGAUGUUUUCUUUUCCUCAGGAUAUUCCAAGUUUCGCUAUGACUAAAGGGAGGCAAAAAACAAGGUUUUAAUUUAGGGUGUUGAUGAUGAUGUAAGCACAGCCAUCUGUACUAGUGAUAAUUGUGACACAUGGUUUCCGUGUUCUUUGAGGUAGUUUAUGGAGGAAGAUGCAAAACUGACAGGGAUAGGACAUUUGAUUGAUUUACCUCCAGAACAGAUAGCUUCUUGUGUUGUUUAAUUGUAGGGAGAAAUGAGGGACACUCUCAUUUCCACAGUAUCUAUAUGUAAGGAUGGAGAAAACUAUGCACUCUGAUUUUGAUUGUUUUGAAUGAUUGUUGGAUAUUUAUAUAUUUGUUCUUUUGGCAUUGUUACUUGUUGCUUUUGUAAUGUAUGACUGCAGAGUAGACGGCAGAUUUAAUACUUUGUCUAAUAGGCAAAGAACCACCAAAUAUAUUCAAUUUGAUGUUACUUUAGCGGUAUACAUAAGGGACAGGGAACCCUUGGCCUUGCAGAUGCUGUUGGGCACUAGUUCCAUCAACUCCUGCCAGCAUGGGCAAUGUCCAUGGGGUUGUAGUUCAGUGUUAUCUUACAGGGCAGAAGGUGUCUGUCUUUGGAAACUUAGAGUAGUGUAAUGGGCAUAGGGUGGUUAGAUGAAAAAGAAGAUGGUUCUCCUUCCUUGCUUGACAAACCAAUCGCUGCAUCCAGAACAGAAAGGAGGGCAAGGGCCAGGUAAAGUGUAUGGGAGGAUGGAAGUAUUUUUCUAUUAGUUCUGUUUGCUUCACAAAGGGCAGGAGCAAAUGGAGACAUCUACCUGUCCGAGCACAGAGGGAAUCCAUGAGCCCCAGAAAGCCAAAAAAUGGGGAAGCUUAAGACGUAUGAGUCUCCCUUGGUUGGAUAAGGAGAAAGCGCAAAUAAAGCAAGGUCAAAACUCUAACCCAGGAGUGAAAUAAACAAUUUUUCUGUAGCCCCUUCCUGAAAUGGUAAGAAUGAAGGCUCUUUAAAAGGGCUAAGACUAGAUCUUUAUGUUGUUUAGUUGUGGAUUAUUAGAGAGCAUUUUAAAAAGUGUUCUGUGUUCCACUUUUGCCUGAGGCAAAUGAGAAACCCAAGUUUCUGAGUUGCUUGUCACAUUUCUAAAACUUAUACUGUCAAAUUAGUUUCAGGUCAAGUAACAGUAUGAUGUGCCUCCCCUCUUCCCUAUUUUAAUAAAGGAUUAGGCUGAGAACUCUUAGUCCUAAAAUAAACUGCAUUUUUAUUUCUUUCAUCAUCUUCUUGAGAACACCAUCUAAUGUGAGCAUUGAUCCAUCCAAAAUGGUCUCCAACAUAGCAUGCACAUUUAUAUUGAUAUUGUGGAACAUGAACCUGCAUAAACACUCAACAAGUGAACCAGCUAAAUCUAAGACAAGUACAACGGCACAGUUAUUACUGCUUAUGACCCAUUUUCAGCCUCCUUCAUC
rnacentral:lncRNA from 1 species